rnacentral:rRNA from 1 species
GAUGAACGCUGGCGGCGUGCCUAAUACAUGCAAGUCGAGCGAACGGACGAGAAGCUUGCUUCUCUGAUGUUAGCGGCGGACGGGUGAGUAACACGUGGAUAACCUACCUAUAAGACUGGGAUAACUUCGGGAAACCGGAGCUAAUACCGGAUAAUAUUUUGAACCGCAUGGUUCAAAAGUGAAAGACGGUCUUGCUGUCACUUAUAGAUGGAUCCGCGCUGCAUUAGCUAGUUGGUAAGGUAACGGCUUACCAAGGCAACGAUGCAUAGCCGACCUGAGAGGGUGAUCGGCCACACGGGAACGGAGACACGGUCCAGACUCCUACGAGAGGCAGCAGUAGGGAAUCUGCCGCAAAGGGCGAAAGCCUGACGGAGCAACGCCGCGUGAGUGAUGAAGGUCUUCGGAUCGUAAAACUCUGUUAUUAGGGAAGAACAUAUGUGUAAGUAACUGUGCACAUCUUGACGGUACCUAAUCAGAAAGCCACGGCCAACUACGUG